UAAGGAAUAUUGGUCAAUGGACGCAAGUCUGAACCAGCCAUGCCGCGUGGAGGAUUAAGGCCCUCUGGGUUGUAAACUCCUUUUAUCUGGGAAGAAAUGUACUUUUUCUUGAGUACUUGACGGUACCAGAGGAAUAAGCACCGGCUAACUCCGUGCCAGCAGCCGCGGUAAUACGGAGGGUGCAAGCGUUAUCCGGAUUCACUGGGUUUAAAGGGCGCGCAGGCGGGAUAAAAAGUCAGUGGUGAAAUCCUACAGCUUAACUGUAGAACUGCCUUUGAUACUUUUAUUCUUGAGUUCGGGAGAGAGCGACGGAACUCCAGGUGUAGUGGUGAAAUACGUAGAUAUCUGGAAGAACACCAGUUGCGAAGGCGGUCUCUUGGUCCGACACUGACGCUGAGGCGCGAAAGCGUGGGGAGCAAACA
rnacentral:rRNA from 1 species